rnacentral:rRNA from 1 species
UACGUAGGGCGCAAGCGUUGUCCGGAAUUAUUGGGCGGAAAGAGCUCGUAGGCGGCUUGUCACGUCGGGUGUGAAAGCCCGGGGCUUAACCCCGGGUCUGCAUUCGAUACGGGCAGGCUAGAGUGUGGUAGGGGAGAUCGGAAUUCCUGGUGUAGCGGUGAAAUGCGUAGAUAUCUGGAGGAACACCGGUGGCGAAGGCGGCAUUCUGGACCGAUAUUGACGCUGAGGAGCGAAAGCCAGGGGGGCAAACGGG